GGGGGUAUAGCUCAGUGGUAGAGCAUUUGACUGCAGAUCAAGAGGUCACUGGUUCAAAUCCAGGUGCCCCCU
rnacentral:tRNA from 2 species